GUCGUGGUGGCUGAGUGGUUAGGCGCGUCCCUAGAAAUGGCGUUCACGCCGGUUCGAUUCCGGCCCACGACU
rnacentral:tRNA from 1 species